CCCUACGGGGGGCAGCAGUGGGGAAUAUUGCACAAUGGGGGAAACCCUGAUGCAGCGACGCCGCGUGAGUGAAGAAGUCAUUCGUGAUGUAAAGCUCUAUCAGCAGGGAAGAAAAUGACGGUACCUGACUAAGAAGCCCCGGCUAACUACGUGCCAGCAGCCGCGGUAAUACGUAGGGGGCAAGCGUUAUCCGGGUUUACUGGGUGUAAAGGGAGCGUAGACGGCAGCGCAAGUCCGAAGUGAAAGCCCGGGGCCCAACCCCGGGACUGCUUUGGAAACUGUGAAGCUGGAGUGCGGGAGGGGCG
rnacentral:rRNA from 1 species